rnacentral:lncRNA from 10 species
CCCCUUUCCCCGUCGUGUGUCCUUGGCGCCUUUGCUGAAGCCCUGGUCCUGGCCGCAGGCUGCUCACCUGCAUCUCUCUGUGGAUCUGCCGGUUGUGGACAUUUCACACACCUGCGUGCAGUCUUCUGUGCCUGCCUCUUUCACUCGCUGUGAUGUUUAAGUUCACCCAUGUUGUCAUCUAUAUCGGUACUUACUUCCUUUUUUUUUUUGGAGAUGAAGUCUUGCUCUUGUCACCCAGGCUGGAGUGCAGUGGCGUGAUCUCGGCUCACAGCAACUUCUGCCUCUGGGGUUCAAGUGAUUCUCCUGCCUUAGCCUCCCAAGUAGCUGGGACUACAGGUUUGCACCACCAUGUCCUGCUAAUUUUUUUUUUUUUGUAUUUUUAAUAGAGACAGGGUUUCUCCUCAUUGGCCAGGCUGGUCUCGAACUCCUGACCUCAGACGAUCCACCUGCCUCAGCCUCCCGAAGUGUUGGGAUUACAGGCACGAGCCACUGUGCCCGGCCAUCAUUCCUUUUUACUGCUGACUAAUAGUCUGCUGUGUGAAUCCACCGCUAGAAACCCACUCAUCAGUUGAUGGUCAUGUGGGUUGCUUCUGCUAUUCGCUUAUUAUGAACAGUGCUGGAAUAAACGUUCCUGUGCACUCUUGGGCAUACGCCUAGGAGUGGAACUGCUGGGUCAAAUGGUGACUUUACGUUUAACGUUCUGAGGAGCCGCCAGGCGUUUUAACACAGUGACUGCACCAUUUCACAUUCCUGCCAACAAUGUGUGAGAAUUCCAAUUUCUCUACAUCCCCAACAUUUUCCUUUAAAAAAAAGAAAAAAGAAACAUAGCCAUCUAAGUGGAUGUGGAGCAGACUGUCCCUCUGGUUUGGGUUUGCGUUGCUUUUAUGGCUCAUGAUGUCUGAGUCUCUCUCCAUGUGCUCAUGGGGAUUCGUAUAUCUACUUUGGGAAAUGCUUAUUCAAGUCCUUUGUCCACAUUUGACUGGGUUGCUUGUCUUUUUAUUUCAUUUACUACGAUGACAGCCCCUACAUGGAAGGAUUUUGUUUUUGUAAUCCCAUUACCCCGAGGUGAGAAUGAAUUGCCAGUUGCUCAAGGCCUUCAGCUCUUAGGGAGGAGCCUGGACCUGGAGCUGCUCCGGGCUCUGGCAAAGCUCCAAUCCCGGCCUCAGUCCUUGAGGCCUGGUCCUCACCCAGCUUUCUCCUUCCACCGUGCCAUGGAGGAAGCCCGACCUCCCUGCACGGCUGGCCUGGGGUUGUUCACGACUGAGUCCAGGUGUCCCCAGAACGGAUGUCACUGGUCACAGUGUUCCUGGUAAUAGGUGACCCCAGGCACAGGGUGUUCCUGAUCAUAGGUAACCCAGGCACAGGUGUCCCAGUCACAGGUGUCUCCAGGCACAGGUGUCCCCAGUCACAGGUGUCCCAGGUCACAGGCGUCCCCAGGCACAGGUGUCCCUGGUCACAGAUGUCCCCAGGCACAGGUGUCCCAGGCACAGGUGUCUCCAGGCACAGCUGUCCCCGGUCACAGGUGUCUCCAG